rnacentral:sRNA from 1 species
GCCGGGCGUGGUGGCACAUGCCUGUAGUCCCAGCUACUUGGGAGGCUGAGGCAGGAGAAUCGCUUGAACCCAGGAGGUGGAGGUUGCAGUGAGCCGAGAUCGUGCCACUGCACUCCAGCCUGGGUGACAAAGUGAGACUCCGUCUCAA